UGGGGAAUAUUGGACAAUGGGCGAAAGCCUGAUCCAGCCAUGCCGCGUGUGUGAAGAAGGUCUUCGGAUUGUAAAGCACUUUAAGUUGGGAGGAAGGGCAGUAAGCGAAUACCUUGCUGUUUUGACGUUACCGACAGAAUAAGCACCGGCUAACUCUGUGCCAGCAGCCGCGGUAAUACAGAGGGUGCAAGCGUUAAUCGGAAUUACUGGGCGUAAAGCGCGCGUAGGUGGUUCGUUAAGUUGAAUGUGAAAGCCCCCGGCUCAACCUGGGAACUGCAUCCAAAACUGGCGAGCUAGAGUAGGGCAGAGGGUGGUGGAAUUUCCUGUGUAGCGGUGAAAUGCGUAGAUAUAGGAAGGAACACCAGUGGCGAAGGCGACCACCUGGGCUCAUACUGACACUGAGGUGCGAAAGCGUGGGGAGCAAACAGG
rnacentral:rRNA from 1 species